rnacentral:rRNA from 1 species
CACAAGCGGUGGAUGAUGUGGAUUAAUUCGAUGCAACGCGAAGAACCUUACUACCCUUGACAUGUCCGGAACUUGCCAGAGAUGGCUUGGUGCCCGAAAGGGAAUCGGAACACAGGUGCUGCAUGGCUGUCGUCAGCUCGUGUCGUGAGAUGUUGGGUUAAGUCCCGCAACGAGCGCAACCCUUAUCAUUAGUUGCUACGCAAGGGCACUCUAAUGAGACUGCCGGUGACAAACCGGAGGAAGGUGGGGAUGGCGUCAAGUCCUCAUGGCCCUUAUGGGUAGGGCUUCACACGUCAUACAAUGGUCGGUACAGAGGGUUGCCAAGCCGCGAGGCGGAGCCAAUCCCACAAAGCCGAUCGUAGUCCGGAUUGUUCUCUGCAACUCGAGAGCAUGAAGUCGGAAUCGCUAGUAAUCGCAGGUCAGCAUACUGCGGUGAAUACGUUCCCGGGUCUU